UAAUACGUAGGUGGCAAGCGUUACUCGGAAUCACUAGGCGUAAAGCGCAGGUAGGAGGUUUAGUAAGUCUGUUGUGAAAGCUCCCGGCUUAACUGGGAGAGGUCAACGGAAACUGCUAGGCUAGAGUGCGGUAGAGGAAGGUGGAAUUCCCGGUGUAGCGGUGAAAUGCGUAGAUAUCGGGAGGAAUACCUAUGGCGAAAGCAGCCUUCUGGACCGUCACUGACUCUGAUCUGCGAAAGCUAGGGGAGCAAACAGGAUUAGAUACCCUGGUAGUCCUAGCCCUAAACGAUGCUCAUUAGGUGUGGGAGGUAUCGACCCCUUCCGCGCCGUAGCUAACGCAUUAAAUGAGCCGCCUGGGGAGUACGGCCGCAAGGUUG
rnacentral:rRNA from 1 species